UACAGAGGUCCCAAGCGUUGUUCGGAUUUACUGGGCGUAAAGGGCGCGUAGGCGGCCUGCUAAGUCGGACGUGAAAUCCCUCGGCUCAACCGGGGAACUGCGUCCGAUACUGGUUGGCUUGAAUUCGGGAGAGGGAUGCGGAAUUCCAGGUGUAGCGGUGAAAUGCGUAGAUAUCUGGAGGAACACCGGUGGCGAAGGCGGGUCUCUGGGCAACAACUGACGCUGAGGAGCGAAAGCGUGGGGAGCGAACAGG
rnacentral:rRNA from 1 species